rnacentral:lncRNA from 1 species
CUCCCCCUCCUGCAGCUUCCUGAUCACUAGCACAGAGGACCCAGCGCUGAGACUGUCUAAAGCCGUAGGAUAGUCAUGGAGAAUUCACCAUUACAUCUGCCAGAAAGAGCAAUGUAUGGCUCUGUUCUUUUCUUAAACUCCCAAUUUGGCUUCAUGCCUUGUCUACUAUGGACUUUGGCUCCUGAAUCUUGGCAAAAUUCUUCAUGCUUAAAUUAUUGGCUUCAAAAAUACUGGGCAGUUGCAUUACCUGUCUACCUCCUUAGUACUAUAGUAACCAGUUAUGUACUCUUUUUUGGCACUAAAGUAAUGAGUAUCUCUCUCUCCACUCAACUCCAUUCGUAAAAUCAUACGCAACUAUUCCAAAAAUUAACAGAGAAGCCAUACCAGCAUUAACACAUAUUCCUGUUAAUGAAGUUAACCUAAUGUUCUUUUUGGCAACCAAGAACUUUAUACCAAAA